rnacentral:rRNA from 1 species
GAACUUAAGCAUAUCAAUAAGCGGAGGAAAAGAAACCAACAGGGAUUACCUCAGUAACGGCGAGUGAAGCGGUAACAGCUCAAAUUUGAAAUCUGGCCUCACGGUCCGAGUUGUAAUUUGUAGAGGAUGUUUCGAACGUGGUCCGGUCUAAGUUCCUUGGAACAGGACGUCAUAGAGGGUGAGAAUCCCGUAUGCGACUGGGUGCCUAAGUUCAUGUGAAACUCCUUCGACGAGUCGAGUUGUUUGGGAAUGCAGCUCAAAAUGGGUGGUAAAUUUCAUCUAAAGCUAAAUAUUGGCCAGAGACCGAUAGCGCACAAGUAGAGUGAUCGAAAGAUGAAAAGCACUUUGGAAAGAGAGUUAAACAGUACGUGAAAUUGUUGAAAGGGAAGCGCUUGCAACCAGACUUGCACGCAGUUGAUCAUCCGGUAUUCUUACCGGUGCACUCGAUUGUGUUCAGGCCAGCAUCGGUUUUGGUGGUUGGAUAAAGGCCUUGGGAAUGUAGCUUCUUUCGGGAAGUGUUAUAGCCCUCGGUGCAAUGCAGCCUACCGGGACCGAGGACCGCGCUUCGGCUAGGAUGCUGGCGUAAUGGUUGUAAGCGACCCGUCUUGAAACACGGACCAAGGAGUCUAACAUCUAUGCGAGUGUUUGGGUGUCAAACCCAUACGCGUAAUGAAAGUGAACGGAGGUGAGAACCCUUAAGGGUGCAUCAUCGACCGAUCCUGAUGUCUUCGGAUGGAUUUGAGUAAGAGCAUAGCUGUCGGGACCCGAAA